rnacentral:rRNA from 1 species
UACAGAGGGUGCAAGCGUUAAUCGGAAUUACUGGGCGUAAAGCGCACGUAGGCGGUCGGGCAAGUCGGGUGUGAAAUCCCUGGGCUUAACCUAGGAAUUGCAUUCGAUACUGCUUGGCUAGAGUUUGGUAGAGGGUGGCGGAAUUCCAGGUGUAGCGGUGAAAUGCGUAGAUAUCUGGAGGAACAUCAGUGGCGAAGGCGGCCACCUGGACCAAAACUGACGCUGAGGUGCGAAAGCGUGGGGAGCAAACAGG